UUUACCUCACAAUAUUGGUUUUAGCAAUAAUCUCUCAAAAAAAUAAAAAACUUUCCACAAAUCCCUUAUAACCCAAAAUUAACUCAAAUUAAGAAAAAAUAUGACACUUAUAACCCUCCACCUGCUACUUCUUCUUCUCCAUUUCUCAUAACUACCAUUAUCCUUAGAAUUCCACCGAUUCUCUCCUCCAGAUCAUCAUGGGUGCUGCUACUUGGCUACGUCAUGCAUCGGCGUCGCUGGUGAAGUUUGUUUCAAGAAUCUCAGAAGAGAAAAUUUGAGUUGCAAGCAGAGUUAUCACAAGUGAAAAAGAAUGGAAGAUUGUUGGAGCUUGAAACAAAAAAAAAAGUUAAUGAGUUAUAUGAAAGAAUUGGGAUUUUGGAGUUUGAAAAAGGUGUUAUGUGUGAGCAAGUGGCAGAAAUGUGUUUGAGUUCAAGGAAAAAGAAUGGUGGAGAGGGUAGUUAUAAUGGUUUGAUGGAGAAUUUAGAAAUGGACGUUAUUGGUUGAAUAAAAAAUUACAGAUGAAAAAGAUGAAUUUUUCUUAUAAAAUAUCUUAUUUGGAGACUCAACUCGCUUCUUUUGCUAAGUCUUCUGAAAUAUUGCAGAAGGAUACCUCAAUUAGUUUGGUAUAUUCAAGUUUAUGUAAAUAUUCUCUAAUUUUUUUUAAAUGGAAAUAAAAUGAAAUUUUUUUA